rnacentral:rRNA from 1 species
UACGGAGGAGGCAAGCGUUAUCCGGAAUUAUUGGGCGUAAAGCGUCCGCAGGUGGCACCUCAAGUCUGCCGUCAAAGACCGGGGCUUAACCCCAGAAAGGCAGUGGAAACUGAAGUGCUAGAGUGCAGUAGGGGUAGAGGGAAUUCCCGGUGUAGCGGUGAAAUGCGUAGAGAUCGGGAAGAACAUCGGUGGCGAAAGCGCUCUGCUGGACUGCAACUGACACUCAGGGACGAAAGCUAGGGGAGCGAAUGGG